rnacentral:rRNA from 1 species
ACGUAGGGUGCAAGCAUUAUCCGGAUUUAUUGGGCGUAAAGCGUCCGUCGGCGUUUUAUUAAGUUUUAACUUUAAUACUGGAGCUUAACUCCAGAUACAGGUUAAAAUACUGGUAGAAUUGAGUUUACUAGGGGGAGCUGGAAUUCUCGGUGGAGGGGUGAAAUCCGUAGAUAUCGAGAGGAACACCAUUAGCGAAGGCGGGCUCCUGGAGUAUAACUGACGCUCAGGGACGAAAGUCUGGGUAGCAAAAGG